UACGUAGGGUGCAAGCGUUGUCCGGAAUUAUUGGGCGAAAGAGCUCGUAGCGGUUUGUCGCGUCUGCUGUGAAAACUCGGGGCUCAACUCCGAGCUUGCAGUGGGUACGGGGCAGACUAGAGGUAGGUAGGGGAGAAUGGAAUUCCCGGUGUAGCGGUGAAAAUGCGCAGAUAUCGGGAGGAACACCGGUGGCGAAGGCGGUUCUCUGGGCCUUACCUGACGCUGAGGAGCGAAAAGCGUGGGGAGCGAACAGG
rnacentral:rRNA from 1 species